rnacentral:rRNA from 4 species
CAACUUUCAACAACGGAUCUCUUGGCUCUCGCAUCGAUGAAGAACGCAGCGAAAUGCGAUAAGUAAUGUGAAUUGCAGAAUUCAGUGAAUCAUCGAAUCUUUGAACGCACCUUGCGCCCUUUGGUAUUCCGAAGGGCAUGCCUGUUUGAGUGUCAUGU